rnacentral:rRNA from 1 species
UACGUAGGGUGCAAGCGUUGUCCGGAAUUAUUGGGCGUAAAGAGCUUGUAGGCGGUUUGUCGCGUCUGCUGUGAAAUUUCGGGGCUCAACCCCGAGCUUGCAGUGGGUACGGGCAGACUAGAGUGUGGUAGGGGAGACUGGAAUUCCUGGUGUAGCGGUGAAAUGCGCAGAUAUCAGGAGGAACACCGAUGGCGAAGGCAGGUCUCUGGGCCAUAACUGACGCUGAGAAGCGAAAGCAUGGGGAGCGAACAGG